rnacentral:rRNA from 1 species
UGGGGAAUAUUGGACAAUGGGGGCAACCCUGAUCCAGCAAUGCCGCGUGUGUGAAGAAGGUUUUCGGAUUGUAAAGCACUUUCGGCGGGGACGAUGAUGACGGUACCCGCAGAAGAAGCCCCGGCUAACUUCGUGCCAGCAGCCGCGGUAAUACGAAGGGGGCUAGCGUUGCUCGGAAUGACUGGGCGUAAAGGGCGUGUAGGCGGUUUGUACAGUCAGAUGUGAAAUCCCCGGGCUUAACCUGGGAGCUGCAUUUGAUACGUGCAGACUAGAGUGUGAGAGAGGGUUGUGGAAUUCCCAGUGUAGAGGUGAAAUUCGUAGAUAUUGGGAAGAACACCGGUGGCGAAGGCGGCAACCUGGCUCAUGACUGACGCUGAGGCGCGAAAGCGUGGGGAGCAAACAGGAUUAGAUACCCUGGUAGUCCACGCUGUAAACGAUGUGUGCUGGAUGUUGGGCCAACUUAGUUGUUCAGUGUCGUAGCUAACGCGAUAAGCACACC